rnacentral:lncRNA from 1 species
UAUAUAUAGAAAUAUUGCUAUGUGGAAGUAACUGAAACCAUUUCACAAAGGGUACCUAGAAUCCAUUCGAAGUAGCAUCCACACCAAUGUAAAUCAUCAAACAGGGAAACCAAGUUUGGCUAUCAUAUCAAACAAAAUUAAUUUCUUAUUUCAUACCUUCCAUUUUCAUUUCACAACACUUUUGACUUAAAAAUAAUAUAAUUCCACAAAAGCAUAAAGAUAUUGGAACACAUGGACUUUUUUUAAUUUUAAACUAAUUUUUUGUUUAGAUAGUGCCUUUAAUUAAGAAAAUCAAACAAAUAAUAAUAAUGACAAAUCAACAAUUAGGCAUGGCAAUGGGCACCGCUUUUUGUUGGUUUACCAAUACCAAACCAGCACCUACACAAAAUUUAAAUGACCAAAUUCACCCGCAACCCCUUAUUGGUUUAAAAUUUAAAUGACCAAAUUCACCCGCAACCCCUUAUGGGUUUUAAUUUUUUAAAGAAAACCCACCUGCUGCGGGUUUUGACAAUUACCAAACCCGCAAUGGUACUUGGCAGUCUUUUUGUGAGUUUCCACGUUUAAAAUCACAAAUGUUCAAUAUGUAAAUUAUAAAGAUAACCUAAAAUAUUAAAAUUAUAGAUAAAAUAUUUAGUCUAGAUUUAAUCAAUGUAAAUGAAAAAUUAAAAUUUCAACAUUGAUGCAACAAUUACUCAAAUUUAAGUAUGAAAUACAAAAGUCCAUCAAAACUCAAAAGUGCUUUCAAGUAAUUAAAAAAAAAGUACAACAACAACGACUAUAAAAUUAGUGCCGGUAGUAGUUGCAGAAUCAGCGGUGGAGGUAGCAACAACAACAAUAGCUGCAGCAUGAACGAUGAUGACGGUUGUAAAUCAGCAGCUUCUACAACAGCCACAACAACAUAGCACGAUUAUCGACAGAGAAGGGAGUUGGGCGUAGGCUGUUUGGAUUAAGAAGAGAGUUGGGCAACAAGGUAGGUGUGUGACUCACGGUCACGACUCAAGGUAGAUACUAGAUUAGUUUCCUUUAGCUUACUUUAGAUGAGAGAUCAACUAAAGAAGUAGAUAAAGGUGGCCAAUGGCACAAUAUGACCCAUUAAACCAAGGCCCACUAGGGCUCAUAGGUUGGCACAACAUGGCCCACCAAGUAAACAUUUCGUCCUAUACAGUGCCAAAUUUUUUUUCUUUUAGGCCUGGCACAGCCCACAACAUGAGCCCUCGCGUGUUGUGAUCGGGCCAUGUCGUGGGCCAUGUCCAAAAAAAGUUUGCCAACCUUUUUUUUUUCCAAGCCUACUUACCUGACGUACUUUUUCAAGCCCGUGUGCUUGGCGUGCUUUGUUUAAGCCCAUCAGCCCACGCACUUAUAAUAAUAAUAACAAUAAUAAUAAAUAAUAUUAUUAAUAAUAACAACAAUAACAAUAAUAAUGAUAAUAAGAACAACAACAACAACAACAAUAAUAAUUUUUAUUAAGGGAACAAUUAACAUUUCAUUAUCAAUUUAUCACAAUUUUAUAACUAUAUAUUUAAUUUCAUAAUAACCAACU